AAAAAUAAACCCAAGGCUAUAGGGUAAGUGGGUGAUCCGAUUCCAAGAUACCGGAUCCUCUCCUCCAUUGCAGCCGACUCAAGGAAGAGUAACUUACUGUCAUAUCACUAAACCCAAAAAUAUUUAUAUUACUGCGGCAAUGUAUACGUGGCGCAUUGUGGCAAUUUACCAAUGUUACCAAAGAAAGGAGCGGAUCGCGUCGAACUCGUCCUUCAGUCCAGUUUCCAGUCAAGUGAUAUAAAUUCUCUUCCAGUGUCGAUUCUAUUUUGUGAUCAAGAAAUCACGACACAGAAGUUCAUUGCCCACUCUCAGUUAGAUAGCCUCAAUUCUGAUUUCAAAAGCUUAAGGCUCCAAUUGACUUCUAAAUUGCUAUUCAAAAUCUCAACUGGCUGCUGAAGAAGCAGAAUAGGUCGUGAAUUUGAUGGCGAUGAUAGCAACGGCAAAAGUGGAGGAUGAUGGAUGGAUUGCGAAAUUAAGGAUUAGUUGCAAUUAGAGAUUUGUUGCAAUUAAGGAUAGCGAUUGAUUUGGGGAUUUAAAAGGAUUUAAGUAAAGGGGUUCACUUUGCUUAGGCAAAGUUCAUUUUGGUUCAAAUUGAUUGAAAAAUAAAGUUUAGUAUUUAAAUGUGAUUUUUUUUUUUGGUAAAUGUUUAGAUAAUUUUAUCUAAUAGAUCUCGUUAUAUUAA